CAUUGGUCAUUAAAUCGUCAGGUAUAUGCCGGGAAUCAAACAUCAUUCCCAUCGCCAACGAACCGAGGAUAGCGCAGACCGCAACCAUGACGGCUAAAAAGAGCAUCCCCUUCGGAAAUUCUUUUCCACAGGUGGUCAGGUAGAGAAUACCAAGGCGCUUGAGAGAACUCGGGUGAAGGAACUAGGCAAAAUGGUGCCGUAACUUCGGGAGAAGGCACGCUGACACGUAGGUGAAGUGAUUUACUCAUGGAGC
rnacentral:rRNA from 1 species